CUACGUGCCAGCAGCCGCGGUAAUACGUAGGGCGCGAGCGUUGUCCGGAAUUAUUGGGCGUAAAGGGCUUGUAGGCGGUUGGUCGCGUCUGCCGUGAAAUUCUCUGGCUUAACUGGGGGCGUGCGGCGGGUACGGGCUGACUUGAGUGCGGUAGGGGAGACUGGAACUCCUGGUGUAGCGGUGGAAUGCGCAGAUAUCAGGAAGAACACCGGUGGCGAAGGCGGGUCUCUGGGCCGUUACUGACGCUGAGGAGCGAAAGCGUGGGGAGCGAACAGGAUUAGAUACCCUGGUAGUCCACGCUGUAAACGUUGGGYACUAGGUGUGGGGGCCACCCGUGGUUUCUGCGCCGUAGCUAACGCUUUAAGUGCCCCGCCUGGGGAGUACGGCCGCAAGGCUAAAACUCAAAGGAAUUGACGGGGGCCCGCACAAGCGGCGGAGCAUGCGGAUUAAUUCGAUGCAACGCGAAGAACCUUACCAAGGCUUGACAUGC
rnacentral:rRNA from 1 species